AGAGUUUGAUCAUGGCUCAGGACGAACGCUGACGGUGUGCUUUAGACAUGCAAGUCGAACGAGAAAGCCCUUCGGGGUGAGUACAGUGGCGAACGGGUGAGUAACACGUGGGCAAUCUGCCCCUCGCAGGGGGACAACCGGGGGAAACCCCGGCUAAUACCCCGUACGCUUACGGAGCCGCAUGGGUCCGUAAGGAGAGGUAGCUUCGGCCAUCCGGCGAGGGAUGAGCCCGCGGUGCAUUAGCUAGUUGGUGAGGUAACGGCUCACCAAGGCGACGAUGCAUAGCUGGUCUGAGAGGAUGAUCAGCCACACUGGGACUGAGACACGGCCCAGACUCCUACGGGAGGCAGCAGUCGGGAAUCUUGCGCAAUGGGCGAAAGCCUGACGCAGCAACACCGUGUGAGCGACGAAGGCCUUCGGGUCGUAAAGCUCUGUUGUUGGGGACGAAGGGUUAGGGGUUAAUAGCCCCGAGCCUGACGGUACCCUUCGAGGAAGCCCCGGCUAACUACGUGCCAGCAGCCGCGGUAAUACGUAGGGGGCGAGCGUUGUCCGGAAUUAUUGGGCGUAAAGAGCGUGUAGGCGGUUCGGUAAGUCUGCCGUGAAAACCCAGGGCUCAACCCUGGGCGUGCGGUGGAUACUGCCGGGCUAGAGGGUGGUAGAGGCGAGUGGAAUUCCCGGUGUAGCGGUGAAAUGCGCAGAUAUCGGGAGGAACACCAGUAGCGAAGGCGGCUCGCUGGGCCACACCUGACGCUGAGACGCGAAAGCGUGGGGAGCAAACAGGAUUAGAUACCCCGGUAGUCC
rnacentral:rRNA from 1 species